rnacentral:rRNA from 1 species
GACGAACACUGGCGGCGUGCUUAACACAUGCAAGUCGAACGGUAAGGCCCUUCGGGGUACACGAGUGGCGAACGGGUGAGUGACACGUGGGUGAUCUGCCCUGCACUUCGGGAUAAGCCUGGGAAACUGGGUCUAAUACCGGAUAGGACCACUGCCUGCAUGGGUGGUGGUGGAAAGCUUUUGCGGUGUGGGAUGGGCCCGCGGCCUAUCAGCUUGUUGGUGGGGUGAUGGCCUACCAAGGCGACGACGGGUAGCCGGCCUGAGAGGGUGACCGGCCACACUGGGACUGAGAUACGGCCCAGACUCCUACGGGAGGCAGCAGUGGGGAAUAUUGCACAAUGGGCGCGAGCCUGAUGCAGCGACGCCGCGUGAGGGAUGACGGCCUUCGGGUUGUAAACCUCUUUCAGCACCGACGAAGCGCAAGUGACGGUAGGUGCAGAAGAAGGACCGGCCAACUACGUGCCAGCCGCCGCAGUAAAAC